UACAGGGGUCUCAACCGUUGUUCGGAUUCAUUGGGCGUAAAGGGUGCGUAGGCGGUCGUGCAAGUCGGAUGUGAAAUCUCAGGGCUCAACCCUGAAACUGCAUUCGAUACUGCGCGGCUAGAGUGCUGGAGGGGAGACUGGAAUUUACGGUGUAGCAGUGAAAUGCGUAGAUAUCGUAAGGAAGACCAGUGGCGAAGGCGAGUCUCUGGACAGCAACUGACGCUGAGGCACGAAGGCCAGGGGAGCAAACGGG
rnacentral:rRNA from 1 species